CCCGCCUGCCCGGUGAUUUUAUUUAACGGCCGCGGUAUCUUGACCGUGCAAAGGUAGCAUAAUAAAUUGUUCUCUAAAUAGGGACUAGUAUGAAUGGCAUCACGAGGGUUUAACUGUCUCCCUACUUUAAUCAAUAAAAUUGAUCUUCCCGUGAAGAAGCGGGAAUAUAUAUAUAAGACGAAAAGACCCCAUGGAGCUUCAAACUUAUUAUUACCUAUCAAAAUUUUAAAACACACACACUGAUAAAUAUGAUAAAUAGUUUUCGGUUGGGGCGACCCUGGAGAAAAACUAAUCCUCCAGGCUGUAAGAUUAAACUCUAAUGUUAGAGCAACAACUCAAACAAUCAAAACCUUGACAAAAUGACCCAGAAUAUAUCUGAUCAACGAACCAAGUUACCCUGGGGAUAACAGCGCAAUCCAUUUCAAGAGCCCCUAUCGACAAAUGGGUUUACGACCUCGAUGUUGGAUCGGGGUAUCCUAGCAACGCAGCCGCUGCUAAAGGUUCGUUUGUUCAACGAUUAAUAUCCCACGUGAUCU
rnacentral:rRNA from 1 species